ACAUCCACGGAAGUUUUCAGAGAUGAGAAUGUGCCUUCGGGAACCGUGAGACAGGUGCUGCAUGGCUGUCGUCAGCUCGUGUUGUGAAAUGUUGGGUUAAGUCCCGCAACGAGCGCAACCCUUAUCCUUUGUUGCCAGCGGUCCGGCCGGGAACUCAAAGGAGACUGCCAGUGAUAAACUGGAGGAAGGUGGGGAUGACGUCAAGUCAUCAUGGCCCUUACGACCAGGGCUACACACGUGCUACAAUGGCGCAUACAAAGAGAAGCGACCUCGCGAGAGCAAGCGGACCUCAUAAAGUGCGUCGUAGUCCGGAUUGGAGUCUGCAACUCGACUCCAUGAAGUCGGAGUCGCUAGUAAUCGUGGAUCAGAAUGCCACGGUGAAUACGUUCCCGGGCCUUGUACACACCGCCCGUCACACCAUGGGAGUGGGUUGCAAAAGAAGUAGGUAGCUUAACCUUCGGGAGGGCGCUUACCACUUUGUGAUUCAUGACUGGGGUGAAGUCGUAACAAGGUAGGCGUAGUGCU
rnacentral:rRNA from 1 species